AUUGAACGCUGGCGGCAUGCUUUACACAUGCAAGUCGAACGGUAACAGGCCGCAAGGUGCUGACGAGUGGCGAACGGGUGAGUAAUGCAUCGGAACGUGCCCAGUCGUGGGGGAUAACGCAGCGAAAGCUGUGCUAAUACCGCAUACGCUCCAUGGAUGAAAGCGGGGGACCGUAAGGCCUCGCGCGAUUGGAGCGGCCGAUGUCAGAUUAGGUAGUUGGUGGGGUAAAGGCCUACCAAGCCGACGAUCUGUAGCUGGUCUGAGAGGACGACCAGCACCACUGGGACUGAGACACGGCCCAGACUCCUACGGGUGGCAGCAGGGGGGAAUUUUGGACAAUGGGCGCAAGCCUGAUCCAGCAAUGCCGCGUGCAGGAAGAAGACCUUCGGGUUGUAAACUGCUUUUGUACGGAACGAAACGGUCUGGGUUAAUACCCUGGGCUAAUGACGGUACCGUAAGAAUAAGCACCGGCUAACUACGUGCCAGCCGCCGCCGUAACAC
rnacentral:rRNA from 1 species